AGAGUUUGAUCCUGGCUCAGGAUGAACGCUAGCUACAGGCUUAACACAUGCAAGUCGAGGGGCAUCAGGAAGAAAGCUUGCUUUCUUUGCUGGCGACCGGCGCACGGGUGAGUAACACGUAUCCAACCUGCCCUUUACUCGGGGAUAGCCUUUCGAAAGAAAGAUUAAUACCCGAUAGCAUAAUGAUUCCGCAUGGUUUCAUUAUUAAAGGAUUCCGGUAAAGGAUGGGGAUGCGUUCCAUUAGGUUGUUGGUGAGGUAACGGCUCACCAAGCCUUCGAUGGAUAGGGGUUCUGAGAGGAAGGUCCCCCACAUUGGAACUGAGACACGGUCCAAACUCCUACGGGAGGCAGCAGUGAGGAAUAUUGGUCAAUGGGCGAGAGCCUGAACCAGCCAAGUAGCGUGAAGGAUGACUGCCCUAUGGGUUGUAAACUUCUUUUAUAAAGGAAUAAAGUCGGGUAUGUAUACCCGUUUGCAUGUACUUUAUGAAUAAGGAUCGGCUAACUCCGUGCCAGCAGCCGCGGUAAUACGGAGGAUCCGAGCGUUAUCCGGAUUUAUUGGGUUUAAAGGGAGCGUAGGUGGACUGGUAAGUCAGUUGUGAAAGUUUGCGGCUCAACCGUAAAAUUGCAGUUGAUACUGUCAGUCUUGAGUACAGUAGAGGUGGGCGGAAUUCGUGGUGUAGCGGUGAAAUGCUUAGAUAUCACGAAGAACUCCGAUUGCGAAGGCAGCUCACUGGACUGCAACUGACACUGAUGCUCGAAAGUGUGGGUAUCAAACAGGAUUAGAUACCCUGGUAGUCCACACAGUAAACGAUGAAUACUCGCUGUUUGCGAUAUACAGUAAGCGGCCAAGCGAAAGCGUUAAGUAUUCCACCUGGGGAGUACGCCGGCAACGGUGAAACU
rnacentral:rRNA from 1 species